rnacentral:rRNA from 1 species
AACCAGCACCUCAAGUGGUCGGGAUGAUUAUUGGGCCUAAAGCAUCCGUAGCCUGCUUUGUUAGUUUUCGGUUAAAUCCAACGAUUCAAUCGUUGGGCUGCGGGGGAUACUGUCCGGCUAGGGGGCGGGAGAGGCCGACGGUAUCCUCGGGGUAGGGGUGAAAUCCUAUAAUCCCGGGAGGACCACCAGUGGCGAAGGCUGUCGGCUAGAACGCGCUCGACGGUGAGGGAUGAAAGCUGGGGGAGCGAACCGGAUUAGAUACCCGGGUAGUCCCAGCUGUAAACGAUGCAGGCUAGGUGUUGGCGCGGCUACGUGCCGCUCCAGUGCCGCAGGGAAGCCGUUAAGCCUGCCGCCAGGGAAGUACGGCCGCAAGGCUUAAACUUAAAGGAAUUGGCGGGGGAGCACCACAAGGUGUGAAGCUUGCGGUUU